UGUCUAUUUUAAGGCAUAUCCCAUACAUGGUCCUUUCAGCUCCUCACAGUCAGGAAUGUGGCUCUUCCUGGAAACCACCUGCUCAGGGAGACAGCUGGGCUUUUACUGAGGGUGAGAUCUACGCUGCAGCCCCUCCUGGGUGGGUUGAGGUGUCUUCCUCACAGGGUUUCACAUCCUCAGCGCUCAGGACAGAGUAGCAAAUGUGGGAGGCACUUUGGUUUACACAAUUACAACUUAUUACCAGCCCUCAGGCAUCAGAUCAUGGUUCAGGUACAACUUGACACCCACAUUCUCCCCACCUGCCUGACACGAGCUUCCUUUGCAGGCCUCCUCUGCCCUCUGCACUCAUCAGGCUGUGAGUCCUGCUGAUAGCUGGGGCCAGGUGACUGCUGCUCCAUGUCCUGUGGAGGCUGCCAGCCAAGCUUUGUCACCCUGCCUCUCCAGUGGUCUGAAAUGACCUUCAAGGGACUGGCUGCAAGGUGAAAGUACACUAGCAGGUUGAAGCUGGUCAUUCAACAUCCAGGGAUUAGAGCAAAUCGGCAAACAAAGCUGGUUUGAUUUGUCUGCAAGACAUCCUUGUCUAAAAGUCAGGUCUGUAAGCCCCAAAGCAGAAGCUAAGAAGAGCCAAGGGCCAAGGUAACGCAAGUUCAGAGGACUGGAGGACUCUCUACUGGGCUGCCUGGAACAAGGAUAAGAGCAGUCAGUCCCACAGAAAUUCUGUAUGAUGGCAUCAUCCUUGGUUCAAAGAGGGAGAGAAAAAGUCCAAACCACCUCGGUAAUGGACAAGUUCCAGAAGAGAUCCUUGAAAAUCCUCCCUCAGCUGAAUGUUCUAGUAAUGUUCUAGUGGUUCCUGAGAGCCUUAAUACAGAUUUUAUCUGCCCUGGGACUGCUGAAUUGUAUCAUGUUCUUUUAUUUACCUGCUGAGUACCUCAAGAACAGACUGCACAUUGGCACCCCAAGAUCAUCAGGUGGUUGCUGAAUUUCUUCAGAGGAGGGUUGAGUGAUCUGGGAAGAAGAAAGUAUGGAGGAUCUCAAAAGACCUCCACUCCCUGCUUUUUGGUUUAGCAGCACCACAUGCCUCCUGCAAUGCCAGGUCUGUAAAGGUGGUGCCCAAGCUCAGGGCAUAGUGAGGAAUUAUAGCUAAAGUUCUCCCUCUUCAGUCCUUGAACAUGCAACGGGUGGCUCCACAAUUCCUCCCAGGGCCAACCAGCUCAAUGAUGUGUGACUAACACUUUCAUUGACCAAAGACCAACCACUUCCCUCAUGUGACCUUACAUAACUGUUCAUCUAUUUCGUUAAUGAAUGGAGCUUGAGAAAAUUUCCAUUGCCCAAGGCCCUUAGGGGAAAAUGCGUGAGCACCGUCUCCACCUUUUGUGUGCCGAUGUGAGAUUUUCCUAUGGAUUAACUGAGUACAGUAGCAUUAUUUUUUGGUUGCUGUCAUUGGUGACUGAAAUGGUGAGCUGUCAGGUGCCAAGGGGGUGGGAAAAAAAAAAGAGUCUCUGCCUGAGCCAGAGGAAACAGGAGACUCCCCCUGCCAGGAGGAGCAACAGGGAUGUCAUUGCGUCACCAGUGUGGUCAGGGACUGUACCUAUUCCCAGGCAAAAGCUGCUCUGUUUACUCAGCCCUGAGCAGAGCCAAAACACCUCCCAGCUUCUCCUCACUCCCUGCACAGAUCCAGCAGUGCCAACCUGCUGGUAUCCUGGGGGCCAGACCCAGUCCUGGGGCUGGAAAACAGCUCUCUCUGGCCUGCCAUGGUCAGGAUGGAGCAGUCUGAUGCUGGGUCGCAGCAGAGAGGGGUGAUAUGCUCCUCUCAGCUAUAUUGGCAGGUCAGAGGUACCCACCCCAGCAUUUAAAGCAGGUAGGAAAGGGAAGGAAUAUGGGAAUACCCCAGUAUUUCUAAAGGCCCCUACCAAUGCUUCAGAUUUUACCAUUUUCACCACUUCACUGUGGUGCUGCCCAAGACAGAAAUUAUUUCUAUCGUAAAAGUCCUUCUGCCAGUGGAAGACUGGGUAGGGGAGAGCUCAACACCUCAAUGUCAUGCAAAGGUGCUUGCAAGUGCUAGAAGCACACUAUUUUCAGAAAUAAGAUUCAUGUUGUUCUCUGAGGAUGUACUUUGGAACCAAGGAAUAUUUUGGAUGUGCAGUCUGGGCUCCCCAUGGUGUGGGCUAUAAAUCUCAUGGUUUAGGAACGUUGCUGAAGCUAAGAAAAUAGCUAGGUUGAACAAGACAUGACUGGACAACUAUGAUGGAUGGAAGUGGCAGCACUGAAAUAAUGGAGGAUGCUCCUUUUUCAGUUUAUGGGGAGAAAAUGCAAAUGUUGUUCGGGCUUCUGUAAUACCUGGUCCAUGUGCAAUGAUAAGUAAAUAUUUAACUGCAGAAAGAACAUUCCCUUCCAGAGACUUAAGCAGCCAAGUUAAUCAGUUCCAGACUAUAUUCAAGUCAUGGGUGUCAAGAGGACAAUACAAGUUCAAAAACCUCGAGGAUGUUCAAAGUCUGCUAUGACACCUCAGCAGUUGCCAUGUCUUCCCUGGGAUGCUAUAAAGAAGGAUAUUUUCACCUGCUGAGAAAGCAGGAUGAUGAACUCACUUGAAGACAAGCUUCACAGGGUGGGGGAAGGACUGAAGAUGUGGCAGACAGGAGUUUGAAGAGCUGCUUGUUGCAUCCAGAUGGUGCUUCAGGAACUUGGGAGAUGAGGCUGCUGCAGCAGCUGGACUGGGAAAGCCCUUAGGCGGGUCUGGAGACAUUCCCUGCCCUGGCAGCCCAUGGGAUGUUCACCAUCAGGGCUGAUGACAGAAGUUGCCACUGGUAGAAGUUCUCAAGCUUUGGAAAGUGCUCAGAUUCUGCCAGAUCCUUCUCUUACACAACAUAUUUCCAGUUGUUCUUUUAUCCAAGGAUAGUUUGUCCUCAUCUGUCUCUCCCUUACAAAGCCAGUCUGUUCCCUUCAGAGAUUAUACAGAGAAGGUUGUCAGUACUCAUGUGCCUAAUAAAACAAGUUCCUACA